ensembl:lncRNA
AUGAUUGCUCUACAUUUUUUCUUAUUUACUCAGUUCUUCUUGUUGUGUAGCUAUUUAGGAUGGAUUCACACAUUUCACUUCCCAGUAGCUCCAGUGGAAGAAAAUGGUUGCCCUGGAACGAAGGCAAGUGUGCAACUAAAGACAUCUGAGAGAAAAAGGAGCCUACCAUCUGCCCCAAGGCUCAGAAAAAGAGAAGAUACCAUAUGUGGCCUGACUAUUUUUUUCAUAAAGAAAAGGAAAUGUUAUGAAGUAAUUCCUGCACUGCAGAUGUUAGUCCAGCAAAGCUUUCAUCAGAGCAAGGACCACCUCUCCCCUGCCUUCUUGCAUGAUUACAAGCUUUGAUCUUAGUCUGGGAGCCUUACAUCUCUGCAGUUGACUCCAGUUAAAAAAUACUCCAUCCAAAUAUUGCAACAAAUGUUUAGAUUAAAACCAAAAAUCCCUAUAUCUGCAAAUUUGCACUCAGCCCCCUGCUUUCUUUGAAGAAAAUUUCAAUCCUGUUUCUUCCUGGGCUCUGAUGGGUGGCUCCUGGUUAAUCUCUGUCUGUCUCCCUGGUAACAGUCAAAGGAGAGGACACAGAGGUGGGCAGGGAGCAGCCUCCAGCCACUGUUCCUCUUAUCACAGUCCAUCAGCAGGUGUCCCUUGCUCAUAUCCAGGAACAAUAAAUACAGCCUGUGGCUAAGGGAACCA